UGCAGCCUUCUGGUUCGCCAGCCCUCAGUCAAACUGUCCAAUUCAUGCCAGCAUGGAAAAUGGACGUUAAACGAUGAUGAUGAUGAAUAUAUAUAUAUGUGUGUGUGUCUGUUUUCUUUUGUCAUAUUUAAAGUGGAACUAAUCACCCUAACACUUAAAAUUUCAUGAAGAGCUAACAAGACAUUUAUUGAUGUUUUGUUUUUAAUUAUAUAGUUGGAAGAAGAAGAUGAAAGGAUAGUUUUGCCCAUCACCUUUACAAUUCCUGGGUACAAAGGUGUGAGAGUUUAUGUGGUUGCCAAUCUGCUGGAAAAAGCAGCUGAAUUUUCUUUCAGCCUAAAAGGGGAGAAGAACACACAUCAGAUAAUGUAGUCAACAUCAAAACUAAGACAGGAUGGUCAUGGCUUGAAUACUUUGGUGCUAAACAACAGCAGCAACAACAAUCCUUCCGAGACUGAUGUGGUUGAUGUUUAGUUUGAAUUUUUAUAAGUUGUCUGUAGAAAAGAUGUGAGAAGGGAAGGAGCUCCAUGGUGGUUGGGGUGGAGUGGGUUGAUACAAUUUUGUAGAAGAAGGGUUGGACGUUGCAUUUAGUGCAGAGCUUGUCAGAAUAAGAUAGUAGGAAUAUGGCAGGAAAAAAAGUAGGUGUGUAAAGUAGAGUUUCUAGGACAGGGGCUAGUACAUAGCUUGUUACUUUAAAUCAGUGGUUUUCAACCAUCUUUUGUCUAUGGGCCCCCUUUGAUUCCCAUUUUGCUCUACUGGACCUCCAUAGUGAUUCAUCAUCAUCAUCACAACACGGGGUCCUAAAAAAUCCUACUGUAUUUUUAUAAUUAAAAAUCAUUUGGAAUUGUAUUUAAGAAAAGAUUGCUUGUCAACUAAAAAAUAUUUGUAUAGUCUCUUGGUUGUGGAUACUAUCAGUGUACAGAAGAAUAAAGAGAAGUACUGUCUGGUAUCAUGGUAAAAAAAUAGGAGACAUAACUGAACCUUGAUGUACACCAGAGCUGACAGAAUGGGGGCUGGAGAAAGCUCUGCCAACACAAGUUAUAGUAAAUAGUUUUGCUAAAAACUUGCUCAUAGAGAUUAGUUAGAUGAAGCUUAUAUUAGUCAGCAACCUUGCUAGGAUGUUCCUUUGUGAGACAUGGUCAAAAGUUUGCACCAAAAUUCUCAGUGGCAAAAGACUAUAGAAAAUCUGAUUCUUUGGUAAAUUUGAUUCUAUAGGAACUAUUAGACUUAUCUCUGGCCUUUAAAUACUGGGUUCAGUUGUCACCUUUUAGCUGUCUCAGAUAACCCAUGUCAUCUCUAGUUACCUCAAAUGGAUAGCUAUUAUCAAACACCAUCCAAAUUUUAAUGAGAUAACUGGUUGUAUUAACCUUUAAUAAGAAUGAGGGUUUUUUUGUUUUGUUUUUUACUAUAGCUUAGUUAAAAAAGGGUAGUGACCAUUGCCCUUAUGGAGUUUCCAUGGUUUGGGGAGGGAUUGCAAAGAUAUGUUAUCGUCAGUUCUACUAACAUUUGUAGCUCAUGUCUAAUUACCCCCAUCAAAAAGGUUCCUAUGAACAGCAUUUUCAAUAUACAACAAUUCCAAAUGAAAUUCUCUCUACUAAUCUUUCCCAAAAUACUCUCUUCAUUGCCAAGUUCUCUCCAAAACUUUCAAAUCUCAAGUCAUUCUGCCAUGUAACUGAAAAUGCGACAUUAGGCUUUUACUGGGGGGCAACCACAAUAAUAAAGCACUGACAGCAGGGUUUACUUGUGUUUUCUAUAUUUCUGUUUAAAAUAUAUCCUGGUGGGGCCCAAAAUGUGGAUUUUGAAGAUUAAACUAUCUAAAACUAGCAUAAAUGGUUCAAGAAUAUCCUUCUGUUCCUUCUUGUACUCAUAGCUUCCAGCUUAAUUCACAUGCCUAUUACUUCAACAAAGCUAACUUCAGAUAUUUUUGCUCCAGGUGUUUGGUAUAUGUAAUGCAGAUUUGGUGGUUUUCAUCAUGUCAGCUUGGAUUUCUAUACUUUAAUUAUAUAAAAUAAAACUGGCUUUAUUUUCUACUGUA